GUAUCUUCAGGAUUCCUACAUAGACUGAAGACCAGGAGCUCUCUCAGAAUUUCCCAGGAUUCUAGCCUCAAUAGGGACUGUUAAGACACUCAGUUUUGUGGGUUGAACAUCUGCUGGUUUCUCUGACUUUCUAUCACAAGAUGGCCAUUGUUGGACUAUCUGGGCCUGAAAGCUACUCUUCUCUCUCUGCCUCUUUCGGUUUCUCUGUCUCCCUCUCAUUUUAACAGUUCUCUUCCUUUAGAGAACCCAGACUAAACACAUACCCAUAGAUUGGCAGACUCUUUAAACACAUGUAUCUGACCCUUAGAAGGGAAGUGUGGCAGUCUACAUGUACUCAUGUCAGAGCUGGCUUAGCGGCUACCCCUGUUCAUGGUAGCUUCAGCAAUAGCCUUCAUUCUUUCUUAAUGGGUCAGUUAGAAACCCAAUGUAAAAGUAGCAAACAAUGGGCAGAAAGGGUUUGUUCCAAGUAUUUCUUUUCACAGAUGUAAUCUUGCCUGGGUCUCCAGAUGCUCUUCCCUCCAGGUAUGACUGGUUCCAAUGUGCCCCUGUUCAGAAGAAUAUAGCCCUCUCCAACCAACCUGAAUAAAGUCACAUUCUGAGAUGAACAUUUGGCUCCAGGGACAUUUUUCACAAAAGUUGAUAAAAUGGAUGCAUGAGAACUGUGCAAAGACAAUCUCACCCAGUCAUGAAGUGUAUGUCAAAUCUCAAGAGUUUAUGGAGUCUGGAUACAGCUGAAGGAGGCUCUUCUGAGAGCAAAGGAGAGGUUGCGGAAGAUCUGGCAGUGGUGCCCUAGCCCGCAGGGUGAUGCUCUUGCCUUGCUACUGAGGUACUGCUUCCUGUCAGUUACCAAUCGGCUCAAAGACCAAAGGUGUCCACACAUGUCAUCACCCAAGCGCUCUGCCAAACGCUGGAAAGAUCUGCUCCUGUGUUGUCUCGGAAGAUAGCUUUAUAUCUUUGUUCUUUUUUGGGGGUGGAGGAGUUGGUUGAUUAGACACAUACCCUCACACACAAACAUAUGUGUGUACACAUUUACACAAAAGGUUUGAGAUCUCUAUAGAUCCUUUUGGUCUCACAUACUUAAUAGACUACAAUGUACCACCAAAAUGACUUUUUGGUAACAAUGAGCAUUUCCUGGCUUUCUCUAAUAAACCUUAAGGCUUUACAAAUCCCAA